GCUCCUGUAUCAUCAUGGAUAGUGCGUUGGACUUCUAAUCCAAAGGUAGUGGGUUCGAAUCCCACUAGAGAUG